rnacentral:piRNA from 1 species
UGACAAGAUUGACCAUUUCAGCUAUCUGCC